rnacentral:rRNA from 1 species
UACAGAGGGUGCAAGCGUUGUUCGGAAUUACUGGGCGUAAAGCGCGUGUAGGCGGUUCUGCAAGUCGGUCGUGAAAGCCCUUGGCUUAACCAAGGAACUGCGAUCGAAACUGCAGGACUCGAGUAUCGGAGGGGGUGGCGGAAUUCCCGGUGUAGAGGUGAAAUUCGUAGAUAUCGGGAGGAACACCUGUGGCGAAGGCGGCCACCUGGAAGAUUACUGACGCUGAGACGCGAAAGCGUGGGGAGCAAACAGG